AAAGGCAUAUGUGUCCAAAAAAUGUACAUAAGCCCAAGGUACUUUGGAAGGAUAUUCUAACAGGACAAUGGAAAGGUCCUGACCCAGUGAUUGUCUGGAGUCGGAGGUCUGUUUGUGUGUUUCCACAGGGAGAACAGGAGCCGAUUUGGAUUCCAGAGAGAUUAACUAAAGCAAUUUCUACAGACCAAAAAGAAGAUGAUUUGGCUCAAAUCCAUAACAGCUGAUAUCCAGAACUCCAGUUUGGCUAUCCUUACAUCUGCCAAAGUGGUUCUCCCACACCUGGAGGCUAAUGAAUAAUGAACAUCAUUAAGGCCUAUUUCAAAUGUAAAAAACCUUAGGGCUUGCUUGUGGGAAUACCUUCAGACCCAUUAUGCAAGUUACAGGAAAAAGGAUGGGAUAAAAAUCAACAGAAGAGUCAAACCCAGGUGGUAACCAGGAUGCUUUUUUCAAUAUCUAUUUUAUUAUUGCCCUCUCCCACACCAUGAAGUUUUAUUUUAUUUUUUGAGCUCAUACAGACCUAGGUUAGUGUUUUUCUGAUCAGUUCUAUUUUUUGACUGUGGAGUUUGUAAACAUUGCAAUGGGGAUUUCACCUGUGAAAAGCUACAAGGCCUUUACUAUUGUCUUAUGUGUUGUAUGUUAUGUGUGCACACUUGUGUUAUGUGUUGUAUGUCUGUAUGUGCGUAUGUCCAUAUAUCAUAUAUGAGGAGCGCUCAUGAAAAAAUGGAUCCAAAUAUUUUUUUAUUCACGUGAUUUAAACGGUUUAAUUUAAAUUGGGUAAACAGCUGUUGAGGAUUGUUUUAAUAUGUGAACAAAAAAGGAGGUUAACAGAUCUGUUUGUUUACUUUCACCUUUCCUUUUCNCAAAAGGGGGAGAUGUUGAGAGCCACAACCAAGUCAAGAUGGUGCCUGGCAUUUUGCCAGAAGGAGUGGUUGAGAAGUAACGCCAGCGAGCCAUUAAGAUGAUGAUAAUUAAGUUAAGCUGUGUAUAAUUAUUAAGAUAAUGACUGAUUACUGUAACUGGAUGAUGCUAAAUUGAAACAAGCUGUGUAUUCAGUUGUGUAUAUAAGCCUCUGCUGUCCAGCAAUAAGGCGGCUCCUGCUACCUCGGGUGCCUGCUACUUUUGAGUUCUCGCGGAGUUCCCGUUGAGUUCCCGUGGAGUUCGCAUGGGUUCUGGAAUAAAGUUCAUUCCUGCUUGAAUCUACAAGUGGCUCGUGACCUCCCGGUUAUUUGUGCCCAGCCAGANGGUAAGGACCAUAUGUAGUAUUGGACAAAGUAAGACAGGCACGGUCCCUAAGCCAUAUACUUGUUGUUUAAAAACAAAAGGGGGAGAUGUUGAGAGCCACAACCAAGUCAAGAUGGUGCCUGGCAUUUUGCCAGAAGGAGUGGUUGAGAAGUAACGCCAGCGAGCCAUUAAGAUGAUGAUAAUUAAGUUAAGCUGUGUAUAAUUAUUAAGAUAAUGACUGAUUACUGUAACUGGAUGAUGCUAAAUUGAAACAAGCUGUGUAUUCAGUUGUGUAUAUAAGCCUCUGCUGUCCAGCAAUAAGGCGGCUCCUGCUACCUCGGGUGCCUGCUACUUUUGAGUUCUCGCGGAGUUCCCGUUGAGUUCCCGUGGAGUUCGCAUGGGUUCUGGAAUAAAGUUCGUUCCUGCUUGAAUCUACAAGUGGC
rnacentral:lncRNA from 1 species